AUACGAAGGGGGCUAGCGUUGUUCGGAUUUACAGGGCGUAAAGCGCACGUAGGCGGAUUGAUUAGUUAGGGGUGAAAUCCCGAGGCUCAACCUCGGAACUGCCUUUAAUACUGUCAAUCUCGAGACCGGAAGAGGUGAGUGGAACUCCUAGUGUAGAGGUGGAAUUCGUAGAUAUUAGGAAGAACACCAGUGGCGAAGGCGGCUCACUGGUCCGGUACUGACGCUGAGGUGCGAAAGCGUGGGGAGCGAACAGGAUUAGAAACCCUAGUAGUCC
rnacentral:rRNA from 1 species